ACGAACGCUGGCGGCGUGCUUAACACAUGCAAGUCGAACGAAGAGCGAUGGAAGCUUGCUUCUAUCAAUCUUAGUGGCGAACGGGUGAGUAACGCGUAAUCAACCUGCCCUUCAGAGGGGGACAACAGUUGGAAACGACUGCUAAUACCGCAUACGAUCUAAUCUCGGCAUCGAGGAUAGAUGAAAGGUGGCCUCUACAUGUAAGCUAUCACUGAAGGAGGGGAUUGCGUCUGAUUAGCUAGUUGGAGGGGUAACGGCCCACCAAGGCGAUGAUCAGUAGCCGGUCUGAGAGGAUGAACGGCCACAUUGGGACUGAGACACGGCCCAGACUCCUACGGGAGGCAGCAGUGGGGAAUCUUCCGCAAUGGACGAAAGUCUGACGGAGCAACGCCGCGUGAGUGAUGACGGCCUUCGGGUUGUAAAGCUCUGUUAAUCGGGACGAAAGGCCUUCUUGCGAAUAGUGAGAAGGAUUGACGGUACCGGAAUAGAAAGCCACGGCUAACUACGUU
rnacentral:rRNA from 1 species